rnacentral:rRNA from 1 species
CCUACGGGAGGCUGCAGUGAGGAAUAUUGGUCAAUGGACGCAAGUCUGAACCAGCCAUGCCGCGUGAAGGAAGACUGCUCUAUGAGUUGUAAACUUCUUUUGUACAAGGAUAAAUCCCGAUACGUGUAUCUGGUUGAAAGUAUUGUACGAAUAAGGAUCGGCUAACUCCGUGCCAGCAGCCGCGGUAAUACGGAGGAUUCAAGCGUUAUCCGGAUUUAUUGGGUUUAAAGGGUGCGUAGACGGUUCGAUAAGUUAGUGGUGAAAUCCCGGGGCUCAACUCCGGCACUGCCUCUGAUACUGGCGGGCUAGAGUUUAGUUGCGGUAGGCGGAAUGUAUGGUGUAGCGGUGAAAUGCAUAGAGAUCAUGCAGAACACCGAUUGCGAAGGCAGCUUACCAAACUACGACUGACGUUGAGGCACGAAAGCGUGGGGAGCAAACAGGAUUAGAUACCCUUGUAGUC